rnacentral:rRNA from 1 species
AAGUUAGAAAGGGCGCACGGUGGAUGCCUUGGCACUAGGAGCCGAAGAAGGACGGGACUAACACCGAUAUGCUUUGGGGAGCUGUACGUAAGCGUUGAUCCAGAGAUUUCCGAAUGGGGGAACCCACUAUCUUUAGUCGGAUAGUAUCCUUACGUGAAUACAUAGCGUAAGGAAGGCAGACCCAGGGAACUGAAACAUCUAAGUACCUGGAGGAAGAGAAAGAAAAAUCGAUUUCCUGAGUAGCGGCGAGCGAAACGGAAAGAGCCCAAACCAAGAAGCUUGCUUCUUGGGGUUGUAGGACACUCUAUACGGAGUUACAAAAGAAAGUUAUAAAUGAAGCGGUCUGGAAAGGCCCGCCAAAGACGGUAACAGCCCGGUAGUUGAAAUGGCUUUCCCUCCAGAGUGGAUCCUGAGUACGGCGGAACACGUGAAAUUCCGUCGGAAUCCGGGAGGACCAUCUCCCAAGGCUAAAUACUCCCUAGUGACCGAUAGUGAACCAGUACCGUGAGGGAAAGGUGAAAAGCACCCCGGAAGGGGAGUGAAACAGUUCCUGAAACCGUGUGCCUACAAGUAGUUAGAGCCCGUUAAUGGGUGAUAGCGUGCCUUUUGUAGAAUGAACCGGCGAGUUACGAUUUGUUGCAAGGUUAAGCGGAAAAAGCGGAGCCGUAGCGAAAGCGAGUCUGAAUAGGGCGCAUAAGUAACAGGUCGUAGACCCGAAACCAGGUGAUCUACCCAUGUCCAGGAUGAAGGUAAGGUAAUACUUACUGGAGGUCCGAACCCACGCACGUUGAAAAGUGCGGGGAUGAGGUGUGGGUAGCGGAGAAAUUCCAAUCGAACUUGGAGAUAGCUGGUUCUCUCCGAAAUAGCUUUAGGGCUAGCCUCGAGGUAAAGAGUCAUGGAGGUAGAGCACUGUUUGGACUAGGGGCCCUUCUCGGGUUACCGAAUUCAGAUAAACUCCGAAUGCCAUGUACUUAUACUCGGGAGUCAGACUGCGAGUGAUAAGAUCCGUAGUCGAAAGGGAAACAGCCCAGACCACCAGUUAAGGUCCCCAAAUAUAUGUUAAGUGGAAAAGGAUGUGGGGUUGCUUAGACAACCAGGAUGUUGGCUUAGAAGCAGCCACCAUUGAAAGAGUGCGUAAUAGCUCACUGGUCGAGUGACCCCGCGCCGAAAAUGUACCGGGGCUAAAC